UGGGGUCUACAGGUCAAUGGGUCAUCGUUAGCGGAAUCAAUCCCCAUUAAUGAGGACUGUUGGGGUCUACAGAUCAAUGGGUCAUCGUUAGUGGAAUCAAUCCCCAUUAAUGAGGACUGUUGGGGUCUACAGGUCAGUGGGUCAUCGUUAGCGGAAUCAAUCCCCAUUAAUGAGGACUGUUGGGGUCUACAGGUCAGUGGGUCAUCGUUAGCGGAAUCAAUCCCCAUUAAUGGGGAGUGCUGGGUUCCUCAGGUCCACGUGUUCCCUUUGCUGCUCCUCUUUGGACGCUGGCCAUCUCCGUGAUCUCAGGGAGGACUCGGGGUUCCGCAUCCGUAAUCACAACCCUAAUUCUGUGCGUUUUCAGCCCAAAACGUGACCGUGGAGGAAAUCGUCAGCGCCUACAAGCAGGCGUGCCAGAAGCUGAGCUGCAAGCAGAUCCCCAAGCUCCUGAAGCAGAUCCAGGAAUUCAAGGAUCUGGCUCCCAGGAUAGAUUGCUUGGACCUCAAAGGGGAGAAGCUGGACUACAAGGCGUGCGAGGCGCUGGAGGAGAUCUUCAAGCGGGUGCAGUUCAAAAUCGUUGACUUGGAGCAGACGAGCUUGGAUGAGGACGUAAGUGGCGCGAGCCGCGCCGCCCUGUGGUUCUCGUUUCGACUCGGCGAAAGUCUCGUGGGUUUUGUGGUUGGUUCCACCCCCGGCGGGGAAGCGGAUGAGGUUAAAACCCGCGGAAAUGGUUAAAAAGCGUUUUCACCAACUGCGGCACGGCAGGUGCCACCGAGCGUCCCAAGGAGAAGGACCCGUGGGGUCACAGGGCCCAAGUCUUGGCUCCACGUUGGGCCAUCCAAAAGUCAAACCCUAAGUGGGCCACCACGAGGAACCUGGAGGUUCUCACCUCUCUGCCCCACUUUCCCCAUUCUAAUCCCAAUUUCCACCUUUCUGCCCCAUUUUCACCAUUCUAAUCCCAAUUUCCACCUUUCUGCCCCAUUUUCACCAUUCUAUUCCCAAUUUCCACCUUUCCGCCCCAUUUUCACCAUUCUAAUCCCCAGUUUCCACCUUUCCACCCCAUUUUUCCCAUUCUAAUCCCAGUUUUCACCUUUCAGCCCCAUUUGCCAUUCUCAUCUCCAAUUUCCAUUUUUUCUGCCAAAUUUUGGCUGUUCUAAUCCCAAUUUUUACCUUU